rnacentral:rRNA from 1 species
GUCCGCACAGUAAACGAUGAUAACUAGAUGUGUGCGAUAUACAGUACGCGUCCAAGCGAAAGCGAUAAGUUAUCCACCUGGGGAGUACGCCGGCAACGGUGAAACUCAAAGGAAUUGACGGGGGCCCGCACAAGCGGAGGAGCAUGUGGUUUAAUUCGAUGAUACGCGAGGAACCUUACCAGGGCUUGAAAGUUAAGGAAUGAUUAUGAAAGUAGUCAGUCAGCAAUGACCUAAAACUAGGUGCUGCAUGGCUGUCGU